rnacentral:rRNA from 1 species
ACCUCCGUCAUUCAGAGUAUCUUUUUAGAGUGAAUAUUCUUAAAUGUCCAAAUAAAUUAUGUCAGGUCAAGGGCAAUUUAUGAAUAAGUAGAGAUGGGUUACAAUAAAAAAUAUUUAUAUGGAUUAUUGUUAGUAUUAACAAUAUGAAGGGGAUUUAAAAGUAAAUUUAUUCCUUUAAUAUAUUGAUUUUGGCUCUAAAAUAUGCACACAUCGCCCGUCGCUCUUAUUUUAAAAUAAGAUAAGUCGGUAACAUAGUAGGAGACCGGAAGGUGUUCCUAGAA